GGGAAGGUAGCUCAGUGGUAGAGCGCUUGCUUUGCAUGCAUGAGGCCUUGGGUUC
rfam:Dipodomys ordii contig_85373, whole genome shotgun sequence.